UGUCUUCCCCGAAAGAGGAGAUCUGGUGAUUUUUCUCAGAGAAGGGGGUUUUCUCAGGGAAAGACUCAUCUGUUUCACUCUGGAUGCGCUCACCUCUGCCAUUUCUCCAAAUGCAGGAGGCUGGGCUGUGCAAUUUGUGAUAGAGGGGCCCCACGUUCACGGUUUCCUCUG